GUCGCUCCUACUGAUUGAGUGACCCGGUGAAUAAUCUGGAUUGCAUGGUUGCUCAAUUCUAGAGGACUAAUGUGCAAAAUUUUGUGAACCUCAUCACUUAGAGGAAGGAG
rnacentral:rRNA from 1 species